rnacentral:lncRNA from 1 species
GGGUUACUUUCAAGCUGGUUUUUGAUCCUGAAGAAAUUGGGUCUGCUACUAGCAGCCUGGGUGAUCAGCUGGGCCAGAGCUUGACACAAUGCCUGGCAUUUAGUAACUCCUAAUAAAUAUGUAAUCAUCCAGUCCCUCACCAACACAUCCCAAGAUAUUUCUUUUUGGACAGCAGCCACACAGGAAAUGAACUCAAGAGACAUGGAUUAUACCACCACCUCAUGGGGUUGUCAUCUGGGGAGCUAAGAAGGCAGAGAUUGUAACCCUUAAUAUUCCCUGAAUAUAUAUCCAUCGCAA